CGCCCGCCGGGCUCCGGGCUGCCGGUGCGCUGUUCCCAGGCCCCGCGGCGCGCGGGAGCGGCGCGUCCGGGAGGGGCCCCAACGCCCUUCUUGGGGAGGGGGCUGCGAAGCGCAGCGUGAGCGGCGCUGGGCGAGCUCCAGGGCCGGGCAGCCUACCUGGACCCAGGCUUCUAGAAAGCCGUCGCCGUCCUCGCCGGUACUCGCUGUCGUCCCUCUGAGGAAUAAGUUAAAAACCCCGAGUCUGGUUCUGAGCCUUCCCCUGGCGCAGGCACGACCCCACCCGGCCCUCCUGUCGCCCAACUUCGGACAGACGCGGCGGCCGGGCGUUCGGAUCCGUGAGCCUCGGCCGCUGGGGGUACAUACACAGCCCAGGACGCCACAGAAUCGCCGAAGCCCCGCGAACGCCCAAACGGCCGCAUCUCGAAGUGAUCCCAUCUGAAGAAGAUAGCGCGAGGAAGCGAGACCCUGCUGUGUGCCGGCCCCCGGAGGGCGCCCCGGGCCCGAUACUCUACAAGAGAUAUCAGCAUUAUCUCCUGUGUACUCAACAAAACCCUACAGGAGCAGCACCCGUGAAGGAACUUUUCCUGGGAGUGCCUAGGGAGGAAAUACUCGCAUUUCACCUUAUUGCAUGUUUCAUUGUCUGUAAGGGCCUUGAGGAGAAGAACCACAUCUCCUCCAGCAUUUUGAUCCCAAAAACACAAAUCGACUGCAGCCCAGAGCAGAUCCUGGAUCAGUGAGUGGUCAUUGAGGCAAACAGCCUGAACCUUGGUGCAGAGACGGUGGAAUUGCAGCACGUGUGAAGAUAUCAGUGCAUCAUUUUGGCCUCAGGACAUCUUACUGAAAAUAAUUCUAUAUUAAAGCUGUACAUUUUGCUGAAAUUUAAAAAAAAAAUCAAUGGUGAAUUACAAAAUUGUAUUUGCCUAAAGGCUAGUGUGAACUUAUCACUUUUGCCUUCUCGCAGGCCAAGAUUUUCCCUCCCCUUGUUGCCCAAGCCUCACUUUCUAUCCCUCAAAACUCUUCUUUCUUCUGUGAAUUGCAUCGUGUUCUAGG
rnacentral:lncRNA from 1 species